rnacentral:misc_RNA from 1 species
AACAAGGCGUACCUGCGGACCUGCGGAAGGAUCAUUACCAGAGUGCCAUAGGCUCUCCAACCCAUUGUGAACAUACCUAUCGUUCCCUCGGCGGGCUCAGCGCGCGGGGCCUCCGGGCUUCCGGGCGUCCGCCGGGGACAACCAAACCCUGAUUUACUACGUGUAUCUCUGAGGGGCGAAAGCCCGAAAACAAAAUAAAUCAAAACUUUUAGCAAUGGAUCUCAGAUCGGAAGAGCACAC